UUCGUAACCAAUCUCCAAACAUCCUCCAAGACAUAAGUACCGGUCAAUUUGUUUCGCCAAGGCUACCAAUUUCACCCAUUUCUCGUACUUUUCAGAGGCACCGUCACAAAAGCCAUAAAUUAAUUUUCAUUUUUUCUCGAAUUUUAUUAUCACCGAAUAUAACUGCAUCUUGCGGUAUGAGUGGCGCCUUCAAAAGUCUUUUUGCUAUCAACCCGAGAAAAAGCCUCAAAGCUUACAUACAGACAAGUGUCUCUCUCUUAAAAGAUUUCUCGAAACAAUGCUCUAUCACUCAAGGGAGCUCCCUUCAUUGCCAUUUGAUUAAAAUGGGUAUUUCAUCUGACAAUUAUAUAGCCG
rnacentral:lncRNA from 1 species